UACGUAGGGGGCAAGCGUUAUCCGGAAUUACUGGGUGUAAAGGGAGCGUAGACGGUAAUGUAAGUCCGGAGUGAAAGGCGGGGGCCCAACCCCCGGACUGCUCUGGAAACUAUGUUACUAGAGUGCAGGAGAGGUAAGCGGAAUUCCUAGUGUAGCGGUGAAAUGCGUAGAUAUUAGGAGGAACACCAGUGGCGAAGGCGGCUUACUGGACUGUAACUGACGUUGAGGCUCGAAAGCGUGGGGAGCUAACAGG
rnacentral:rRNA from 1 species